AUUAAACGAGAGUUUGAUCCUGGCUCAGGACGAACGCUGGCGGCGUGCCUAACACAUGCAAGUCGAACGAAGUUUAUUGCUUCACCAAAUGUUGAACGAAGUGCCCAAGCACAUUUGCCAAACGGCAAAGAGAUAAGUUUAACAAUUACAGGUGAAGGAAAAAGAAUUGUGUACGAAGCGUAAAUGCGCUUCACGCUAAUUCCAAGUGUCAACCCUUUUAGUUAUUGAAGUAAUUCUAUUCAAUAUUUGGUGAAGUGAUAAACUUAGUGGCGGACGGGUGAGUAACGCGUGAACAAUCUGCCCUGUACAAAGGAAUAGCCUCGGGAAACCGGGAUUAAAACCAUAUGAUACUUUGAUGCCGCAUGGCAAUGAAGUCAAAUCGAUUAAGAGGUAUGGGAUGAGUUCGCGUCUGAUUAGCUAGUUGGUGGGGUAAAAGCUCACCAAGGCGACGAUCAGUAGCCGGCCUGAGAGGGAGACCGGCCACAUUGGGACUGAGACACGGCCCAAACUCCUACGGGAGGCA
rnacentral:rRNA from 1 species